rnacentral:rRNA from 1 species
GAUGAACGCUAGCUACAGGCUUAACACAUGCAAGUCGAGGGGCAGCAUUUCAGUUUUGCUUGCAAACUGGAGAUGGCGACCGGCGCACGGGUGAGUAACACGUAUCCAACCUGCCGAUAACUCGGGGAUAGCCUUUCGAAAGAAAGAUUAAUACCCGAUGGUAUAAUCAGACCGCAUGGUCUUGUUAUUAAAGAAUUUCGGUUAUCGAUGGGGAUGCGUUCCAUUAGGCAGUUGGUGAGGUAACGGCUCACCAAACCUUCGAUGGAUAGGGGUUCUGAGAGGAAGGUCCCCCACAUUGGAACUGAGACACGGUCCAAACUCCUACGGGAGGCAGCAGUGAGGAAUAUUGGUCAAUGGGCGCAGGCCUGAACCAGCCAAGUAGCGUGAAGGAUGACUGCCCUAUGGGUUGUAAACCUCUUUUAUAUGGGAAUAAAGUUUUCCACGUGUGGAAUUUUGUAUGUACCAUAUGAAUAAGGAUCGGCUAACUCCGUGCCAGCAGCCGCGGUAAUACGGAGGAUCCGAGCGUUAUCCGGAUUUAUUGGGUUUAAAGGGAGCGUAGGUGGACAGUUAAGUCAGUUGUGAAAGUUUGCGGCUCAACCGUAAAAUUGCAGUUGAUACUGGCUGUCUUGAGUACAGUAGAGGUGGGCGGAAUUCGUGGUGUAGCGGUGAAAUGCUUAGAUAUCACGAAGAACUCCGAUUGCGAAGGCAGCUCACUGGACUGCAACUGACACUGAUGCUCGAAAGUGUGGGUAUCAAACAGGAUUAGAUACCCUGGUAGUCCACACAGUAAACGAUGAAUACUCGCUGUUUGCGAUAUACAGUAAGCGGCCAAGCGAAAGCAUUAAGUAUUCCACCUGGGGAGUACGCCGGCAACGGUGAAACUCAAAGGAAUUGACGGGGGCCCGCACAAGCGGAGGAACAUGUGGUUUAAUUCGAUGAUACGCGAGGAACCUUACCCGGGCUUAAAUUGCAUUUGAAUAUAUUGGAAACAGUAUAGCCGUAAGGCAAAUGUGAAGGUGCUGCAUGGUUGUCGUCAGCUCGUGCCGUGAGGUGUCGGCUUAAGUGCCAUAACGAGCGCAACCCUUAUCUUUAGUUACUAACAGGUCAUGCUGAGGACUCUAGAGAGACUGCCGUCGUAAGAUGUGAGGAAGGUGGGGAUGACGUCAAAUCAGCACGGCCCUUACGUCCGGGGCUACACACGUGUUACAAUGGGGGGUACAGAAGGCAGCUACCUGGUGACAGGAUGCUAAUCCCAAAAGCCUCUCUCAGUUCGGAUCGAAGUCUGCAACCCGACUUCGUGAAGCUGGAUUCGCUAGUAAUCGCGCAUCAGCCAUGGCGCGGUGAAUACGUUCCCGGGCCU